GCGGCGGACGGGUGAGUAAUGCCUAGGAAUCUGCCUAGUAGUGGGGGAUAACUUGCCGAAAGGUAAGCUAAUACCGCAUACGUCCUACGGGAGAAAGCAGGGGACUCUUCGGAGCCUUGCGCUAUUAGAUGAGCCUAGGUCGGAUUAGUUAGUUGGUGAGGUAAUGGCUCACCAAGACUGCGAUCCGUAACUGGUCUGAGAGGAUGAUCAGUCACACUGGAACUGAGACACGGUCCAGACUCCUACGGGAGGCAGCAGUGGGGAAUAUUGGACAAUGGGGGCAACCCUGAUCCAGCCAUGCCGCGUGUGUGAAGAAGGUCUUAGGAUUGUAAAGCACUUUAAGUUGGGAGGAAGGGCAGUUAACUAAUACUUGACUGUUUUGACGUUACCGACAGAAUAAGCACCGGCUAACUUCGUGCCAGCGGCCGCGGUAAUACGAAGGGUGCAAGCGUUAAUCGGAAUUACUGGGCGUAAAGCGCGCGUAGGUGGUUCGUUAAGUUAGGAGUGAAAGCCCCGG
rnacentral:rRNA from 1 species